GCUGGGUGUGGUGGUGUGCACCUGUAAUCCCAGCUACUCGGGAGGCUGAGGUGGGAGAAUCACUUGAACCCAGGAGGCAGCGGUUACAGUGAGCCGAGAUCAUGCCACUGCACUCCAGCCUGGGUGACAGAGCGAGACUCCAUCUCAA
rnacentral:sRNA from 1 species